GUACGCUGGCGGCACGCUCACCAUGCUUAUCGAACGGUAACAGGAAGCAGCUUGCUGCUUCGCUGACGAGUGGGACGGGUGAGUAAUGUCUGGGAAACUGCCUGAUGGAGGGGGAUAACUACUGGAAACGGUAGCUAAUACCGCAUAACGUCGCAAGACCAAAGAGGGGGACCUUCGGGCCUCUUGCCAUCGGAUGUGCCCAGAUGGGAUUAGCUAGUAGGUGGGGUAACGGCUCACCUAGGCGACGAUCCCUAGCUGGUCUGAGAGGAUGACCAGCCACACUGGAACUGAGACACGGUCCAGACUCCUACGGGAGGCAGCAGUGGGGAAUAUUGCACAAUGGGCGCAAGCCUGAUGCAACAAUGCCGCGUGUAUGCAGAAGGCCUUCGGGUAGUAAAGUACUUUCAGCGGGGGCAGAAAGGUGUAGAAGGUAAUAAUCAC
rnacentral:rRNA from 1 species